CCUCUGCUUCUUCCUUUUUGGUGAGCUGCCUCUGCCUUUCUGCGACAGUCAUAUUCAAGCAAAAUGAACACCGCCAUGAAAGCGGCUCUCACAAACUCCAGUCCCAACUACUGCAUUUAUGUGAGGGCCGCCCUCUUUCAUUCCACCCCUGUCUUGGAUCGUAAGCGACGAUCCUACUCGGGACCUAGAUUUAACAACUAUGGAAGAAGGUCCAGAAGGUUCUGUGGAAAGCAAACUUUAACGCGCAAUGUCAAUGCUUAUGCAGAUUUCUUAUUUCAGAGUUGGCAGAAUGAGUAUGAUGAUGAGGAGCCAUCUUCAGGUAGAGGCACCUCAUGGUUUAAAAAGCAAUACUCCGCCAAGGGGUCCAAAAAGAAGGCAGGCAAUCAAGGAGCCUGGAAAUACGGAAGAAAUGAUUUCCGGUUUUGUGAAGAAGAUGAAGAUGUGGAGACCAUUUUCCGAUCCAUGUUUGGUGGAAACAAAUUUUAUUAUUGCAAGUGGUUAAGAUGAUCCAACGCGCGGCCUAUUUUGCAAUUUUAGCAGACUCGUAUAUGCAAAUGUAGUUGUACAGAGACUGAUGAUUAGUUUACAUUGUUGCAGGCAGCUGCAGAGGAAAAGUUCAAGCUUUGCAGUGCAGCACAUCAAUCAUUAUACUGUAAACUGUAAAAAUAAGCUGUUUUUAAGUGUUUACAAACACUUUUUUGAGCUAAGUUUCUUUUUAAUACCCACUUUUUAUAAAAGCACCUCAAUACCAAACUAGUACUAAGGCUAAACCUCACAAUAGGCUAACAGUAAUGUAAAUCAAAUUCAAAUUUCAUGAAAAUCGAAUCUAAGACUUCUUGGCAAGAGAGUAAUAUUACUAAACUGUAUUAUUAAGUGAACUUGUCAAGCGUAAUUAGCUCACAAAACAAAUAGCAUUUUAAAAGAACAAAAAAGCCUGAUGUUAAUUGAAGUUGACUUCCCAACCGUAAAUAGUCUACAAAACAAAAAAAGCCUGAUAUAAGAAAAAAAUGAAAAAGAAAAAGGAUAUUGAUACUGUUGUUGUAACUCUCGUUUCUGGAAACCAGCGUCUGUAUAAUUUUUUUGGGGUUGAUUGAGUCUAUCGGGUUUUGAUAAUCUUCUGGGUCAAAAAAUUCAGGAGAAACAUAUAUAUAUAUAUAUAUAUGUAUAUAUAAUGCUAAAGAACAGACAGAUCUUGGGUUGUUCAUCAGGCUUCGUUUCUCAUCGCUGGAAGCCAUAUUCUACUACAAGUGGUAGCCUCUCCUUCCUUUCUAUCUCCACCUGCUCCAACCCAUCAUUAUCUUAUUCCUUUUCUUCUUCGUCGUCAACGUUAUUGCCCACAACUACCACCACUUGGUUGUCUUCCACUCACCGCCCUCGUUUUGGAGCUUUCAGCAUGUCCUCAGCUCCUUCUGGGUCCAACCCAGAUGGCCCUUCGUCUUCAGUUGCGGUUCAGUCUGCUGGCAAUGCUCAUAAGAUUAAUUUCUGCCAGUCGUGUGGUGGUCCAACAAAGCAUGAGAUACCCGAUGGUGAGGAGAAGAUAAGAGCAAUAUGCACAGUUUGUGAGAGGAUUGCCUAUGAGAACCCAAAAAUGACUCAAACCAGAUUGGAUACCCUGCAGCCCCAUUGGCCAGACUCUGAAAGCCAACUUGGCUUCGCUCCACGAAAUCAUAUUGUUGACCAGUGGAUACAUUUUGGUCAAAACGGUGUUAAAAGUCAUAUCUGCAACUUGCCUCCUCCCAAUGUGAGAGUCGAGGACCAAUGCUCCACGGUUGUAGGUUGUCUGAUUGAGCAUGAUAACAAGGUCCUACUUUGCAAAAGGAAGAUUCAACCAUCAUAUGGCCUUUGGACUCUUCCCGCAGGUUACAUGGAAAUUGGGGAAUCAGCUGCAGAAGGAGCCAUCAGGGAAACUUGGGAAGAAGCAUGCGCAGAAGUGGAAGUGGUGUCACCUUUUUCUCAAUUGGACAUCCCAUUAAUUGGCCAGGUCCAGAAUCAUCAGAAUGCCAGCUUUUUGCACUUGAUGAGAUACCUUUUGAUUCUCUGUCAUUCUCGUCAAUGGUUGUUACCUUAAAAUUGUAUAUUGAAGACGUAAAGGCCGGAAAGCUUAAUUUCCACUAUGGUACCAUUAAUAAAAGGCCCGGCACAAGUCCUUCUGACAUUCAUGCGUAUACUUUAGAAUAUCAUCUACAGUCAUGACAAGAUGGUG